rnacentral:lncRNA from 13 species
GUGAGGUGUGGAGCUCCCUGCAAGCCCUGCUGAGAAAAAGAAAUUCAGUCUUAACAAUCCCAAUCGGAAAGCCUGUUUCAACAAUGGCACCUCGCUUGCCUCUCCUUUCAACACUGAGUCGUAGUUUUUAUCAUUUUGAGUAGCCUCGGACACGAUACAGAGCACCACAUGGACAUGAGGAUGUGUGAUUUUGCUCAGCGAUUCUGAAAAAGAAUGAAAAGUUGAGAAAAGUUCAUCACGGGACAACAGGUGAUCUUGCUGUUAUUCAUGAGAGGUGCCUGCACAAGCUGGUAAAGAGCUAUCAAGGGCCGGGUGCGGUGGCUCAUGCCUGUAAUCCCAGC